AGAGUUUGAUCAUGGCUCAGAUUGAACGCUGGCGGCAGGCCUAACACAUGCAAGUCGAACGGUAACAGGAAACAGCUUGCUGUUUCGCUGACGAGUGGCGGACGGGUGGGUAAUGUCUGGGAAACUGCCUGAUGGAGGGGGAUAACUACUGGAAACGGUAGCUAAUACCGCAUAACGUCGCAAGACCAAAGAGGGGGACCUUCGGGCCUCUUGCCAUCAGAUGUGCCCAGAUGGGAUUAGCUAGUAGGUGGGGUAACGGCUCACCUAGGCGACGAUCCCUAGCUGGUCUGAGAGGAUGACCAGCCACACUGGAACUGAGACACGGUCCAGACUCCUACGGGAGGCAGCAGUGGGGAAUAUUGCACAAUGGGCGCAAGCCUGAUGCAGCCAUGCCGCGUGUAUGAAGAAGGCCUUCGGGUUGUAAAGUACUUUCAGCGGGGAGGAAGGGAGUAAAGUUAAUACCUUUGCUCAUUGACGUUACCCGCAGAAGAAGCACCGGCUAACUCCGUGCCAGCAGCCGCGGUAAUACGGAGGGUGCAAGCGUUAAUCGGAAUUACUGGGCGUAAAGCGCACGCAGGCGGUUUGUUAAGUCAGAUGUGAAAUCCCCGGGCUCAACCUGGGAACUGCAUCUGAUACUGGCAAGCUUGAGUCUCGUAGAGGGGGGUAGAAUUCCAGGUGUAGCGGUGAAAUGCGUAGAGAUCUGGAGGAAUACCGGUGGCGAAGGCGGCCCCCUGGACGAAGACUGACGCUCAGGUGCGAAAGCGUGGGGAGCAAACAGGAUUAGAUACCCUGGUAGUCCACGCCGUAAACGAUGUCGACUUGGAGGUUGUGCCCUUGAGGCGUGGCUUCCGGAGCUAACGCGUUAAGUCGACCGCCUGGGGAGUACGGCCGCAAGGUUAAAACUCAAAUGAAUUGACGGGGGCCCGCACAAGCGGUGGAGCAUGUGGUUUAAUUCGAUGCAACGCGAAGAACCUUACCUGGUCUUGACAUCCACGGAAGUUUUCAGAGAUGAGAAUGUGCCUUCGGGAACCGUGAGACAGGUGCUGCAUGGCUGUCGUCAGCUCGUGUUGUGAAAUGUUGGGUUAAGUCCCGCAACGAGCGCAACCCUUAUCCUUUGUUGCCAGCGGUCCGGCCGGGAACUCAAAGGAGACUGCCAGUGAUAAACUGGAGGAAGGUGGGGAUGACGUCAAGUCAUCAUGGCCCUUACGACCAGGGCUACACACGUGCUACAAUGGCGCAUACAAAGAGAAGCGACCUCGCGAGAGCAAGCGGACCUCAUAAAGUGCGUCGUAGUCCGGAUUGGAGUCUGCAACUCGACUCCAUGAAGUCGGAAUCGCUAGUAAUCGUGGAUCAGAAUGCCACGGUGAAUACGUUCCCGGGCCUUGUACACACCGCCCGUCACACCAUGGGAGUGGGUUGCAAAAGAAGUAGGUAGCUUAACCUUCGGGAGGGCGCUUACCACUUUGUGAUUCAUGACUGGGGUGAAGUCGUAACAAGGUAACCGUAGGGGAACCUGCGGUUG
rnacentral:rRNA from 1 species